UACGAAGGGGGCUAGCGUUGCUCGGAAUCACUGGGCGUAAAGCGCACGUAGGCGGCUUUUUAAGUCAGGGGUGAAAUCCUGGAGCUCAACUCCAGAACUGCCCUUGAUACUGAGAAGCUUGAGUCCGGGAGAGGUGAGUGGAACUGCGAGUGUAGAGGUGAAAUUCGUAGAUAUUCGCAAGAACACCAGUGGCGAAGGCGGCUCACUGGCCCGGUACUGACGCUGAGGAGCGAAAGCGUGGGGAGCGAACAGG
rnacentral:rRNA from 1 species